GCACCCAUAGUGUAGUGGAUAUCACAUGAGAUUCCGGUUCUCAUAACGGGGGUUCGACUCCCUCUGGGUGUA
rnacentral:tRNA from 1 species